AUGGCAAUAUGUUUAUUAGUUUUGAGUCUGUUCAUUAUUCUCGCUUAUUAUGUUAAUAAAGUACUCUUCUUGGAUUUUUACUUGCAAAGCUUUAGUCGUAGUCAAUUCUUCAACUUCUCAUUGCUGUGUGUUGCUGCUCUGCAGCUCUGCACACAUUGUGGGUGGGGUAUGGGUAGUGUCUCCCGCGCUGAGAAAGAGCAGAAAAGAGAAGAGAAGUAGCAAGACGGCGUCUUGAAAUGACAAAAUUCAGUAGAGAUUGUCAUUAUUUACACUAUUUAUCAAAUUUUGUACACCCGUUUAAUUUUAGCUUAGUGUGAGAGUAUCUGCAGGCUUUUGUAGUUCUACGACCAACUACUUUUUCUUUGAAUUAAAAUGAGAUUUUUCUCAUAUCGUGCAGCCCGUCUUGUUGUCUUCCUAUAGUAUGUGGUUAUUAAUUAAGUAUUUAUUUAUGUUGUUUGUAGUUUAUUUAUUGUGUCUUGUUUUAUGUUGUUGCUCAGAUGGCUGAGGCAUCACCAUCAAAAUUCUUAAAUAUUGAUGAUCCGGAGGUGGAAAAGCUGCGUCAGGAGUGCCAGCUUCUUUCAUAUGCCUGCAACGACGGAGCUGUCUCAAGAGACCAGCUCUAUCAGCAGAGUGUCGGGGUCCAUGGACGCACUUUAAGUGUGUCGGUGUGGCAGGUCCGCCUCCGUCGGGCUGCGCAGCAACAACUGAAUGAAGUCAGAGAACAGCUGGAGAUGAAACCUGUGCCACCUCACCUCCAAGCCCCACCAGUGACCCGACAACCCUACCCUCCACCCCUCGAGAUUUUUUUUUUGUGUGUGUGUUCAUUGUUCAAACUGUGUUAUUUUAAUGAAAAAUGUUUUGAAAUCUU